UUAAGUUCAGCGGGUAACCUCGUCUGACGUGAAAUCAAGUUUUAUAGUACAUUGGGCACGAGAUCCAACUCCCAGAUCAGAGGCGUGUUCACUACUCUGCGGGCAAAGGAUUGCACGGCCGACACUUUGCGGGCGGCGGUCCACCUCUCGAUGAACCGUCCCCAUCACCGAAACAAGUUCGAGUGGAUAAAUGAUGUUCA
rnacentral:misc_RNA from 1 species